AAAUCCGGUUGAUCCUGCCGGAGGCGACCGCUGUGGGAGUCCGAUUAAGCCAUGCGAGUCGAGAGAAUAAGAUUCUCGGCAUACCGCUCAGUAACACGUGGAUAACCUGCCCUGUGCUGGGGGAUAACCUCGCGAAAGUGAGAACAAUACCCCAUGGGUCACUACGCCUGGAACGGUGGGUGGCUGAAAGCUCCGGCGGCACAGGAUGGGUCUGCGGCGUAUCAGGUUGUAGGGGGUGUAACGGACCUCCUAGCCUUCAACGCGUACGGGUUGUGAGAGCAAUUGCCCGGAGAUGGAUUCUGAGACACGAAUCCAGGCCCUACGGGGCGCAGCAGGCGCGAAAACUUGACAAUGCGAGAAAUCGUGAUCAGGGGACUCCAGUUGGCUGGAUCAAAAGUCCAGUCUGAACCGACUUUAAAUCGGUCGGGUAAUAGGGGCGGGAAAGACCGGUGCCAGCCGCCGCGGUAAUACCGGCGCCCCAAGUGGUCGUCACUAUUAUUGGGCCUAAAACGUCCGUAGCCGGUUUGGUAAAUCCGUGGGUAAAUCAGACAGCCCAACUGUCUGAAUUCUGCGGGGACUGCCAGACUUGAGACCGGGAGAGGUACGGGGUACCUGCGGGGUAGCGGUAAAAUGCGAUCAUCCCGUAGGGACCACCUGUUGCGAAGGCGCCGUACUAGAACGGAUCUGACGGUCAGGGACGAAGCCUAGGGGCACGAACCGGAUUAGAUACCCGGGUAGUCCUAGGUGUAAACGCUGUGGACUUGGGGACUUUCAGAGAGUUUCCGGUGCCGGAGUGAAGAUGUUAAGUCCACUGCCUGGGGAGUACGGUCGCAAGGCUGAAACUUAAAGGAAUUGGCGGGGGAGCACCGCAACGAGAGGAGCGUGCGGUUUAAUUGGAUUCAACGCCGGAAAACUCACCAGAGCCGACUGUUAAAUGAAGACCAGCGUGAUGAGCUUGUCGGAUUACCAGAGAGGUAGUGCAUGGCCGUCGUCAGUUCGUACCGUAAGGCGUUCUGUUAAGUCAGAUAACGAACGAGACCCCCAUCGCUAUUUGCCAACUGUGUCUCCCCUUCGGGGGCGAUUCAGCGCACUAUAGCGAGACCGCUGGCGUGAAGUCAGAGGAAGGCGGGGGCAACGGUAGGUCAGUAUGCUCCGAAUGCUCUGGGCUACACGCGCGCUACAAAGGGCGGGACAAUGGGCUGCAACGCCGAGAGGCAGCGGACUUAGGUCUGAAGCUAUCCCGAAACCCGCUCGUAGUUCGGAUCGAGGGCUGUAAUUCGCCCUCGUGAAGCUGGAUUUCGUAGUAAUCGCGUCUCAAAAUGGCGCGGUGAAUAUGCCCCUGCUCCUUGCACACACCGCCCGUCAAACCAUCUUAGUUGGGGGUGGGUGAGGCUGCCUACGUCUUCGGAUAUGGGGUAUUCGAGCCUGCCUUCGACAAGGAGGGUUAAGUCGUAACAAGGUAUCUGUAGGGGAACCUGCAGAUGGAUCACCUCCUAAG
rnacentral:rRNA from 1 species